rnacentral:rRNA from 1 species
CCAGACUCCUACGGGAGGCAGCAGUGAGGAAUAUUGGUCAAUGGCCGGGAGGCUGAACCAGCCAAGUCGCGUGAGGGAAGACGGCCCUACGGGUUGUAAACCUCUUUUGUCAGGGAGCAAGGUGCAGGUCGGGACCUGCUGUGAGAGUACCUGAAGAAAAAGCAUCGGCUAACUCCGUGCCAGCAGCCGCGGUAAUACGGAGGAUGCGAGCGUUAUCCGGAUUUAUUGGGUUUAAAGGGUGCGUAGGCGGGCUUUUAAGUCAGCGGUAAAAAUUCGGGGCUCAACCCCGUCCGGCCGUUGAAACUGGGGGCCUUGAGUGGGCGAGAAGAAGGCGGAAUGCGCGGUGUAGCGGUGAAAUGCAUAGAUAUCGCGCAGAACUCCGAUUGCGAAGGCAGCAUGCCGGCUCCACACUGACGCUGAGGCACGAAAGCGUGGGUAUCGAACAGGAUUAGAUACCCGAGUAUC